rnacentral:misc_RNA from 1 species
UAAAGGUGCAUGAGUGGUUUUUGGUUUGUUACGUGUGGUUGGCUGCGGCGCUUGCAACAACUUCCAUGCUUUCAUACCUUUUCAGUUAUGCGGCAAGGCUUGUAUCGUCUUGAUCGUGUUGUGGGUUUACUGUGUUGGUUACCUGAUCAACGGUAUCGGUUGGAUAGAUCAAAGUUUCAUUUCGCCUUGAUCCACCUUGUUAAAGGAAUGUUUUAACAUUGUGGCGUGAGGUGAACCCUGAUGCGAGAUCUCAAAGUCCCAUUUCGCCUUGAUCCACCUUGUUAAAAUGAAUUUUUUAACAUUGUGGCGUGAGGUGAACCAUGAUGCUGUCUCUUUGAUCCACCUUGCUAAAUGAAUCUUUUAACAUUGUGGCACAUCGAGCAUUGCUUGGUCUCUUGCAUACGGAACAUAUAGUGGGCAUGGAUCUAACGAUUCUUGUUUGCCCGCAUAUCANGCGUUCUCGCUUCUCUANAACGACCUUGUGCUAACGUGUUGGCUUGUCCAUCCGUAGUGCUACGUCGAAGAGGAAUGUUACCUGGUGAUCCGC